CCUACGGGGGCAGCAGUGGGGAAUAUUGGACAAUGGGCGAAGGCCUGAUCCAGCAAUUCCGCGUGUGUGAAGAAGGCCUUCGGGUUGUAAAGCACUUUAGGUUGGGAAGAAAAAGCUUCGGUGAAUAUCCGGAGUGUUGACGGUACCAACAGAAUAAGCACCGGCUAACUCUGUGCCAGCAGCCGCGGUAAUACAGAGGGUGCAAGCGUUAAUCGGAUUUACUGGGCGUAAAGCGUGCGCAGGUGGUUUCGUAAGUCGGAUGUGAAAGCCCCGGGCUCAACCUGGGAACUGCGUUCGAUACUGCGAGACUAGAGUUUGGUAGAGGGUGGCGGAAUUCCCGGUGUAGCGGUGAAAUGCGUAGAUAUCGGGAGGAACAUCAAUGGCGAAGGCAGCCACCUGGGCCUGAACUGACACUGAGGCACGAAAGCGUGGGUAGCAAACAGGAUUAGAUACCCUGGUAGUCCACGCCGUAAGCGAUGAGAACUUGACGUUGGUCGUUUUACGAAUCGGUGUCGUAGCUAACGCGAUAAGUUCUCCGCCUGGGGGAGACGCGCGAGUAGAACUACAAGAAGUAGAGCGNGAGAGNGCGAGACGACGACGAGGGAGAGG
rnacentral:rRNA from 1 species